GUAAAGCUCCCACUAUUUAGGUGAUAUCCCAUUCUCCCAUUUAUGUCUCAUCUCCAUAUCAGUGGGCCAAGAAUUCACAAAGCUGCAUACAAAGGCUGUUAGUUGAUCUAUGAAGUCCCUCCAAUCCUCUAAGCGCGUUAAUGCCUCGCCGAAAGGCCUCGGCUACGUGGGGACACCACAACAGGUUAUUAAAGCAGCCUAGGACUUCCUCGCCGAAUUAAUAUAUGAGAAUUCUGAAUUCAAUACCAACGAAAGGUUGGCAACUUUGAUAUAUAUAUAUUGCCCAAGAAGAAGAAAGUGUCGGAUAUUACGAGAUGAAAUUGUUAUUUGAUAAUGGUUCUAUUUUGACAUGGAAGACUUGGGCUUUUGUUGUUAGGACUCGUCUCUAUUGCUUGGAUUACUAUUUUUAAGAGAUAUAUUUUCGAAUAAUUUUUUUUUUUUUUUGUGAUAACUAACAAUCCAAACAUGAUGACAUAAUUGGUACAUGAUUGCAACA